AGAACGAACGCUGGCGGCAGGCUUAACACAUGCAAGUCGAACGCCCCGCAAGGGGAGCGGCAGACGGGUGAGUAACGCGUGGGAACAUACCCUCCGGUUCGGAAUAGCUCAGGGAAACUUGGAUUAAUACCGGAUACGGCCUAGCGGCGAAAGAUUCAUCGCCGGAGGAUUGGCCCGCGUUCGAUUAGCUAGUUGGUGAGGUAACGGCUCACCAAGGCGACGAUCGAUAGCUGGUCUGAGAGGAUGAUCAGCCACAUUGGGACUGAGACACGGCCCAAACUCCUACGGGAGGCAGCAGUGGGGAAUAUUGGACAAUGGGCGCAAGCCUGAUCCAGCCAUGCCGCGUGAGUGAUGACGGCCUUAGGGUUGUAAAGCUCUUUCGCUAGGGACGAUAAUGACGGUACCUAGACAAGACGCCCGGCUAACUUCGUGCCAGCAGCCGC
rnacentral:rRNA from 1 species